UACGGGGGGGGCAAGCGUUGUUCGGAUUCACUGGGCGUAAAGGGCGCGUAGGCGGUUCGCUAAGUUGAAUGUGAAAACUCUGGGCUUAACCCAGAGCCUGCAUUCAAUACUGGCGGGCUAGAGUUCUGGAGGGGAUAGCGGAAUUCCUGGUGUAGCGGUGAAAUGCGUAGAUAUCAGGAGGAACACCGGUGGCGAAGGCGGCUAUCUGGACAGAGUCUGACGCUGAGGCGCGAAAGCUAGGGGAGCAAACAGG
rnacentral:rRNA from 1 species